rnacentral:tRNA from 1 species
GUUUUAGUAAUUUAAAAAAAAUAUUGGUCUUGUAAACCAAAACUAAGAUAAUAUCUUCUAAAACU